rnacentral:rRNA from 1 species
CCUACGGGAGGCAGCAGUGGGGGAUAUUGCACAAUGGGGGAAACCCUGAUGCAGCGACGCCGCGUGAGUGAAGAAGUAUUUCGGUAUGUAAAGCUCUAUCAGCAGGGAAGAAAAUGACAGUACCUGACCAAGAAGCCCCGGCUAACUACGUGCCAGCAGCCGCGGUAAUACGUAGGGGGCAAGCGUUAUCCGGAUUUACUGGGUGUAAAGGGAGCGUAGACGGCAGCACAAGUCUGGAGUGAAAUCCCGGGGCUUAACCCCGGAACUGCUUUGGAAACUGUGCGGCUGGAGUGCAGGAGGGGUAAGCGGAAUUCCUAGUGUAGCGGUGAAAUGCUUAGAUAUUAGGAGGAACACCGGUGGCGAAGGCGGCUUACUGGACUGUAACUGACGUUGAGGCUCGAAAGCGUGGGGAGCAAACAGGAUUAGAUACCCGGGUAGUC